GUGGUGCAUGGUUGUCGUCAGCUCGUGUCGUGAGAUGUUGGGUUAAGUCCCGCAACGAGCGCAACCCUUGUCUUUAGUUGCCAUCAUUAAGUUGGGCACUCUAGAGAGACUGCCAGGGAUAACCUGGCGGAAGGUGGGGAUGACGUCAAAUCAUCAUGCCCCUUAUGCUUAGGGCUACACACGUGCUACAAUGGGUAGUACAGAGGGUUGCCAAGACGUAAGGUGGAGCUAAUCCCUUAAAGCUACUCUCAGUUCGGAUUGUAGGCUGAAACUCGCCUACAUGAAGC
rnacentral:rRNA from 1 species